UACAGGAGGUGCGAGCGUUGUUCGAAUUGAUUGGCGUAAAGCGUGCGUAGGCGGUUCGUUAAGUCUGCUGUGAAAGCCCUGGGCUCAACCUGGGAACUGCAGUGGAUACUGGCGGACUAGAGUGUGAUAGAGGAUGGGUGGAAUUCCCGGUGUAGCGGUGAAAUGCGUAGAGAUCGGGAGGAACACCAGUGGCGAAGGCGGCCAUCUGGAUCAACACUGACGCUGAGGCACGAAAGCU
rnacentral:rRNA from 1 species